CCUGCGGAAGGAUCAUUAAUGAAUUCACUAUGGAGUUGUUGCUGGCCUCUAGGGGCAUGUGCACGCUUCACUAGUCUUUCAACCACCUGUGAACUUUUGAUAGAUCUGUGAAGUCGUCUUUCAAGUCGUCAGACUUGGUUUGCUGGGAUUUAAACGUCUCGGUGUGACAACGCAGUCUAUUUACUUAACACACCCCAAAUGUAUGUCUACGAAUGUCAUUUAAUGGGCCUUGUGCCUAUAAACCAUAAUACAACUUUCAACAACGGAUCUCUUGGCUCUCGCAUCGAUGAAGAACGCAGCGAAAUGCGAUAAGUAAUGUGAAUUGCAGAAUUCAGUGAAUCAUCGAAUCUUUGAACGCACCUUGCGCCCCUUGGUAUUCCGAGGGGCAUGCCUGUUUGAGUGUCAUUAAAUUCUCAAACUCACUUUGGUUUCUUUCCAAUUGUGAUGUUUGGAUUGUUGGGGGCUGCUGGCCUUGACAGGUCGGCUCCUCUUAAAUGCAUUAGCAGGACUUCUCAUUGCCUCUGCGCAUGAUGUGAUAAUUAUCACUCAUCAAUAGCACGCAUGAAUAGAGUCCAGCUCUCUAAUCGUCCGCAAGGACAAUUUGACAAUUUGACCUC
rnacentral:rRNA from 2 species